rnacentral:rRNA from 1 species
UACGAAGGACCCGAGCGUUAUCCGGAUUUAUUGGGUUUAAAGGGUGCGUAGGCGGAUUUACAAGUCAGUGGUGAAAUCUCCCAGCUCAACUGGGAAACUGCCAUUGAAACUGUUUAUCUUGAGUACAUUUGAGGCGGGCGGAAUGUGUCAUGUAGAGGUGAAAUUCUUAGAUAUGACACAGAACACCAAUUGCGAAGGCAGCUCGCUAAACUGUAACUGACGCUGAGGAGCGAAAGCGUGGGGAGCAAACAGG